GGUGGCUCAGUGGUAGAGUGCUUGCCUUGCACGCAUGAGGGCUUGAGUUUGAUUCCUCAGCACCA
rnacentral:tRNA from 1 species